AGCGCAGACGGUUGAUUAAGUCUGAUGUGAAAGCCCGGAGCUCAACUCCGGAAUGGCAUUGGAAACUGGUUAACUUGAGUGCAGUAGAGGUAAGUGGAACUCCAUGUGUAGCAGUGGAAUGCGUAGAUAUAUGGAAGAACACCAGUGGCGAAGGCGGCUUACUGGACUGUAACUGACGUUGAGGCUCGAAAGUGUGGGUAGCAAACA
rnacentral:rRNA from 1 species